CCGACCCUGGGACAGGCUCUGGCUGGCUCCUGGGGGUGGCCUUGUCAGCACAGGAUGCUGGAAGCUGGACACUCAUAAAACAUCAUGAAAUGGACUCUGUGUGGUGGCCCAUCUGUCCUGGAACUAGAAAGCUGGACAAAAUAUAUGAAACAACCGGAUUUGGACAUCAGGACCACAGGCUGCACAGGACUGCGAUCCCUAAGAGACAGGAAACAGAUGAAGCGAGGUGUCCAGUCCACUCGGUUUUCUUCCUGGAGGCAGCGUUCCUACCACCGCAGGGAGGGGAGAGUGGACAGCGCGUGGCUGUCUGCAGAAGUGAGGAGGCGGAGGCUGGGCCCUGGGGAUGCUGCCGGCAGAGCAGUAGAGAGGAGAUCCAAAUGUCUCAUCAGGUCCCCUGGAGCGGUCACUGAGCCGGAAUCUACGCACGCACAGCGGGAAACUCCAUGAGGCGGGCGGAGAAUGGAACUGUUGUUCCAAAGGUCUUUUAAAACUCCUCGUGCAAUAGUUUGAUGCACAGAAAGAUACAGAAGCACAUCACUAGUCUGAGGGGAAAAAAUGGAUGCCAAAGCUGCUGGUCACAUGUGAAGCCAGCCUCCACGGAACUCGCUUGGUACGACCUCUCAUUCACCUUGAGAGAAUCAGGGGAGAAGCUAUAAUUCCUUCACUGCCAAGUA